AUUGAACGCUGGCGGCAGGCCUAACACAUGCAAGUCGAGCGGAAAAAGGGAGCUUGUUCCUGUAUUCCGCGGCGGACGGGUACGUAAUGCCUAUGAAUCUGCCAGUUCGUGGGGGAUGAGGUCAGCUACUGGGAGCUGAUACCAAAUCCGCAUAGCGGGGGAAAGCGAGGGAUCUUGGGAUUUCAGGCUCUUGGCUGCGGCUAGGUCGGAUUAGCUAGUUGGUGGGGUAAGGGCCUACCCAGGCGACGAUCCGUAGCUGGUCUGAGAGGAUGAUCAGGCACACUGGAACUGAGACACGGUCCAGACUCCUACGGGAGGCAGCAGUGGGGAAUAUUGGACAAUGGGCGAAAGCCUGAUGCAGCCAUGCCGCGUGUGUGAAGAAGGUCUUCGGAUUGUAAAGCACUUUAAGUUGGGAGGAAGGGCAGUAAGUUAAUACCUUGCUGUUUUGACGUUACCAACAGAAGAAGCACCGGCUAACUUCGUG
rnacentral:rRNA from 1 species